UCCCUGGAGGACUAGUGGUUAGGCCUUGGCACUCCCAUCACUGUGGCGCGGGUUCGAUUCCCAGCCAGGGAA